rfam:Myotis lucifugus cont2.26949, whole genome shotgun sequence.
GGCGGUUCUCACAUGAUGCAUCCUGGAAACGGGCCCUCUCCUCUCAGGUUCUGGGUGCGUCACCUGAGAACCACA